rnacentral:misc_RNA from 1 species
GAUGAAGAACGCAGCAAAAUGCGAUAAGUAAUGUGAAUUGCAGAAUUCAGUGAAUCAUCGAAUCUUUGAACGCACAUUGCGCCCGCCAGUAUUCUGGCGGGCAUGCCUGUUCGAGCGUCAUUUCAACCCUCAAGCCCUCGGGCUUGGUGUUGGGGAUCGGCGAGCCUUUCUGGCAAGCCGGCCCCGAAAUCUAGUGGCGGUCUCGCUGCAGCCUCCAUUGCGUAGUAGUAAAACCCUCGCAACUGGAACGCGGCGCGGCCAAGCCGUUAAACCCCCAACUUCUGAAUGUUGACCUCGGAUCAGGUAGGAAUACCCGCUGAACUUAAGCAUAUCAAUAAGCGGAGGA